UCAGGAAGGAGAUAUCAGGUGAGCACCGCCGGCUCCCACGCGAGGCUCCUGGAGACUUUGCCAGCCUUGGGUUCUAGGAGGCAGGAGACAGACCUCAGCGGACAGCCCUCGCCCACAGCGGCUCUACUUGCCUCGAAGUCACGGAAAGGAGGAAAGACAAAGACACGGGAUGGGUGGCCGCGGUCGUGGAGGCAGCCGUCCAAGAACAUUCUUCAUCAAGGCCCCAAACCGGGGCCCAGCCAGAAACAAACCAAGUGCAGAGUGCGGAGACGGCGAGCCAGCAACAGGGGCGAGCCCGCUGAGGGCCGGCGGCACAAGGACGCGCAGGCCCGAAUCCUGGACCGGCCCCAUUCCCGAGGUCCUGCCGUCCAGCCCUGGGCCUGCUCUUCCCUCGGAGCAGACGGCCCCCAGGAACGUGAGCAAGAGCCCGGUGGGCAUCGAGGAGCCUCCCACCAGAGGCAGAAGCCGGGCUGGGGCUUGGGGGUGAACGGGCCCCAGAAGUAGGGGGGACAGGAGGGUCCGGGAGGCAGAGCAAGGCGAUGCAAGGCCCCGGCUGGGCUGUGACCCUUUGCCAAGACCAGGUGAUAAGGCAGUGAGAGGCUGGCACCCCGGUGCCAGGCCCGGGAUCUCCAGGGAGGAGACAGGGCAGCCGGGGAGCAGAGCCCUCGGGGAAACCCGUCUCCCGGGCGGCCGCCCCAGCAGCAGCACAGCCGAGCCUCGAGACCUGGGGAUGCCUGCUUUGUCC
rnacentral:lncRNA from 1 species